GGGCAAGAAGUGUAUACACGCUUUGGCUUCGAAUCAAAGAAAGAAGAUUUAUUCCUUGUCCU
rnacentral:tRNA from 1 species